rnacentral:misc_RNA from 1 species
AACAUCGCGCACCUGCGGGAACCUGCGGAAGGAUCAUUACAGAGUUAUCCAACUCCCAAACCCAUGUGAACUUAUCUCUUUGUUGCCUCGGCGCAAGCUACCCGGGACCCCGCGCCCCGGGCGGCCCGCCGGCGGACAAACCAAAACUCUUGUUAUCUUAGUUGAUUCUCUGAGCGUCUUAUUUAAUAAGUCAAAACUUUCAACAACGGAUCU